GAUGAACGCUGGCGGCGUGCCUAAUACAUGCAAGUCGAGCGAACAGACGAGGAGCUUGCUCCUCUGACGUUAGCGGCGGACGGGUGAGUAACACGUGGAUAACCUACCUAUAAGACUGGGAUAACUUCGGGAAACCGGAGCUAAUACCGGAUAACAUGUUGAACCGCAUGGUUCAACAGUGAAAGACGGUCUUGCUGUCCCUUAUAGAUGGAUCCGCGCCGCAUUAGCUAGUUGGUAAGGUAACGGCUUACCAAGGCAACGAUGCGUAGCCGACCUGAGAGGGUGAUCGGCCACACUGGAACUGAGACACGGUCCAGACUCCUACGGGAGGCGGCAGUAGGGAAUCUUCCGCAAUGGGCGAAAGCCUGACGGAGCAACGCCGCGUGAGUGGAGAAGGUCUUCGGAUCGUAAAACUCUGUUAUUAGGGAAGAACAAAUGUGUAAGUAACUAUGCACGUCUUGACGGUACCUAAUCAGAAAGCCACGGCUAACUACGUG
rnacentral:rRNA from 1 species